rnacentral:rRNA from 1 species
UAACACAUGCAAGUCGAGCGGGCCCUUCGGGGUCAGCGGCGGACGGGUGAGUAACGCGUGGGAACGUGCCUUCUGGUUCGGAAUAACCCUGGGAAACUAGGGCUAAUACCGGAUACGCCCUUUUGGGGAAAGGUUUACUGCCGGAAGAUCGGCCCGCGUCUGAUUAGCUAGUUGGUGGGGUAACGGCCUACCAAGGCGACGAUCAGUAGCUGGUCUGAGAGGAUGAUCAGCCACACUGGGACUGAGACACGGCCCAGACUCCUACGGGAGGCAGCAGUGGGGAAUAUUGGACAAUGGGCGCAAGCCUGAUCCAGCCAUGCCGCGUGAGUGAUGAAGGCCUUAGGGUUGUAAAGCUCUUUUAUCCGGGACGAUAAUGACGGUACCGGAGGAAUAAGCCCCGGCUAACUUCGUGCCAGCAGCCGCGGUAAUACGAAGGGGGCUAGCGUUGCUCGGAAUCACUGGGCGUAAAGGGCGCGUAGGCGGCGUUUUAAGUCGGGGGUGAAAGCCUGCGGCUCAACCACAGAAUGGCCUUCGAUACUGGGACGCUUGAGUAUGGUAGAGGUUGGUGGAACUGCGAGUGUAGAGGUGAAAUCCGUAGAUAUUCGCAAGAACACCGGUGGCGAAGGCGGCCAACUGGACCAUUACUGACGCUGAGG